rnacentral:lncRNA from 1 species
AGUUCGGUCGGAGCCCUGGAUUAUCGGCUUCAUCUUGUCCAAGUUUGGCCUCCUCUGGGAUAGUGCAUUCCACCACGAAGUCCGCUAAUAUCUGGGCUUUGAUCUCUAGUCGAGGUCAAUAGUUGAUGUCGAACUCUGUGAGCUCGACUGCCCAUUUCGCGAUUCUUCCGAAGGCAUCUGCUUGAUGCAAAACCGCCUUGAUCAGUUGGUUGGUGAGCAGCGUUAUGGUGUGUCCUUGAAAGUAAGGUCGGAGCCUUCGAGCUACAAUCAACAAGGCAUAAGUUAGUUUCUCUAACUUAGUAUACCUGGUUUCGACAUCUCUCAAUACUCGGCUUAUGUAGU